UAAAUAUUUUGAUCGAUUGUUGAUGAAGAUUUGAAGAUUUCGAUCUGCUGUUGAUGAAGAUUUAGAUCGAUUCAUAAUCGGUAAGCCUAAUUUCUAUGUAUGAAUCCAACUCUUUGUCUCUGUAAUCCCUGUGUCUUUCUUUCAGCUCCCAAAUUCUCUUCGACUCAUAGCUUUGUUCGAUUUCGAAGAUCAACAUCAACGGUUCCACUACUUCGACCGAGUAAAUGGAAUUAGGACUCCCUACAUUUGUCAAUUGCCUUUUGAUCACCUUACUCAUCUUCCUGGAUGUGAACAUCACUGAAAUCGAGGGAUAAUUGAUGCUAAAACCCCUGUUCUCCAGCAAAGUCUCAUGGCAACUCACAUUCCUGUGAGUAAUUGUGAAAAUUUCUAAUUUUUUGUAUCCCAUGGUGCACAGAUGAGUGAAAUACUCAUCUGGCCUGAUAUCAUAUACCAGUCCUGGAUUGAUGGCUCUCUUGGGGUUUACAUGUCCAGCUCCAGUCGCGAAAACUCUUAUUUAAUAGCUGCUGGGGUCUAUGUUGGAUGAGCUAAGUGAAUCAGAGCAGCAAUUCCACCGACAUGUGGCCAAGCCAUGGAAGUCCCUGACAUGACAGUGAAGUUCA